rnacentral:lncRNA from 1 species
UGAAAGCGACCAUAUCGCGAUCGCCACUACUUAUUCGUGUCCUCGCCAUAAAAAAACACUCUACUCUCUCAUCAGUGUGACUGGAUAGCGUACAGAGAGCCGCAGAAAAAAAGACAGCUAUUUGGAGCCCCUCGUGGAGAUCGGUUGGUGUUUAGUAAAGCGCAAGUUGCCGCCUUAUUAUUGUGACUCACUUUUGUAACAUCGUGAACAGAAGAGACUUGAAAUGAAGGGACACACCUGUGUGAUUCUCUUGAUGUGCCUCAGCUGUGUAUGUGCGACGGCACUUCAAGAGAAAUCGGCCAAAGAUGAGUUGCUUCUGGAAUACCUUCUGGAAUACCUGCGGGAAUACCUGACCGAG